GGAGAACAGUGGGCAUCUUGUGAGAUCCUCACCUGAGGGAAUGAACUUUGCCAGCGCCUCUGCAAAGGAAAACAUUUAGCAUUCUACUCGUACCGACAAAUGUUUUGAUUAUCUGGCCAAAUGCUACUUCUGAUCACCUCAAAAGGAGACUUUUCUUGAAUCACCACUAACAACAAGAAGGGGAUGGAGCCUAAUACGGUUACAAGGUACUUUCCACAGGUAUUAUCCCUUUAAUAAUCAGGAACUGAAGAAAAGAAGGUUGGCUCCUUCCUGUAAGCAAAUGUCCUGGAAGAAACCCCUUUGAAGCUACCACACAAGCAGUAUUAUUCUGGAGUCUUACCUGAUGAAAAUAGCAAGCAAAAGUACCAAAGGACUGAAUUUCACAUGGAAAGAGAGGAAAGUAGGACAUUCCUGUGGCUUCACACUCAC
rnacentral:lncRNA from 1 species